GAACUCUCUCAUGAGUCAGAAAGCUUCAAUGCCAAUUCAUGAAGUUGACAGAGACAAAGGGACCUAACCUGGAUGCUCCUCAAGAGAGAGGUACUGGCUGUCUUCCAGGUUGAAGUCCCUGGAAGAAAGAAGCAUGCUCGAGCCAGAGUGGGGCUUGAAAGAAUGAAAAUACGAAUAGCUGUUGCCUAGAUCUGGAGCAGUUUGGAGAGACAGAAUACAAUAUGGCGGUUUGGAGCAGACAGAUGGAGAGAGAUGCUUUGGGGUGCAGCAGCUUGGAGGAGAGUUGCUGUUGAUGGAGGUACGGGGCAUAGGACUGACUCAGAUUAUCCACAGCAGCAAACUAUUCAUUUGCCUGGUGCAGGCUCUUUGCCAUCUGCAGACAGUUUGAAUCUGAGGACUCUAAGAGGGAAUAAAUGUCAGAGCCCAGAGAGAGAAGGGGGCUCUAAGAAAGGCUGCUGAUGCUCUCCUCCGGCUGCUCCUGGCUUCUGCGGAUGCAGUGAGAGGAGAAGUUGGAGAUAUUCUGAAAUGAAGAUUGGAAGUGCCCCGAGGAACCCGACAGCUCUAACCAGCAGGAGAUAGCUAAGAGAACUCUGCCCCCUCUUCCCACUAAGUUCCUUCUCUCCUACUCAGUAUUGGGGUGUGGGAAGGGAUUGAGGUGGAGUAGGGA